GCUGCCCGGCCGCAGGCGAGGGUGCAGCGCGGCGGGCACGAAGUCCUCGGGAGGAAAGAACCGGGUCCCCGGGGGGCAGGAGCAGCACCCCCGGGAGGUAGGAGCCGUGGACAGGGGAGAGGCCAGGCAGGGUCCCGGAGCGCGCCACCCACGGGCCGAUGAAGGCAUGGGCGACGUCCGAAACCGCUGAGGCAAAGGAAGAGGCCAGACAGGGUCCCGGAGCGUGCCACCCACGGGCCGACGAAGGCAUGGGCGACGUCCGAAACUGUCAAGGCGGUCCAGAAGCGCGCCACCCAGGCGCCGAUGAGAGCGCGGGUGGCGUCCGAAGCCACCGUCGAGGUGAUGAAAAGGCGAGAGGGUCCACACGAGGCCGACCAGACAUGGUCGAACCUCCUCUGAGGCACCAGAAAAAGCUCAAAAAGGGCCGUACUGUCCACGGUCCAAAAA